GCCAGGUGUGAUGUCAUGCACCUUAGUCCCCAGCUACUCUGGAGGCUGAGGUGGGAGGAUUGCUCGUGCCAAGGAGUUCUAGGCUGUAGUGUGCUAUGCCAAUUGUGUGUCCACACUCAGUUUGGCAUUCAUAUGACUUCCUGGGAGCAAGUGUUUCCUAAGGAGGGGUAAACCAGCCCAGGUCAGAAAUGGAGCCGGUCAAAACUCCUGUGCUGAUUACUAGUGGGAUCACACCUGUGAAGAGCCACUGCACUCCAGCCUGGCAACUUCGUGAGACUCCUCUUUA
rnacentral:SRP_RNA from 1 species